rnacentral:rRNA from 1 species
GGUGUUGAGGGUACCUGGAUAAGAAGCGCCGGCUAACUACGUGCCAGCAGCCGCGGUAAUACGUAGGGCGCAAGCGUUGUCCGGAAUUAUUGGGCGUAAAGAGCUCGUAGGCGGCUGGUCGCGUCUGUCGUGAAAACUUCCGGCUCAACCGGGGGCUUGCGGUGGGUACGGGCCGGCUAGAGUGCGGUAGGGGUAACUGGAACUCCUGGUGUAGCGGUGGAAUGCGCAGAUAUCAGGAAGAACACCGAUGGCGAAGGCAGGUUACUGGGCCGU